AAUUCAGUGGCUGAAAUAUAAGUGUAGGUCUUUUAAACCUAAUAUGGUGUGUACAUCCUGAAUUA
rnacentral:tRNA from 2 species